AGAGUUUGAUCCUGGCUCAGGACGAACGCUGGCGGCGUGCCUAAUACAUGCAAGUCGAGCGGACGAAUCGAAAGCUUGCUUUUGAUUCGUUAGCGGCGGACGGGUGAGUAACACGUGGGCAACCUGCCCUGUAGACGGGGAUAACACCGAGAAAUCGGUGCUAAUACCGGAUAACACGAAAUGUCGCAUGACGUUUCGUUGAAAGACGGCGCAAGCUGUCGCUACAGGAUGGGCCCGCGGCGCAUUAGCUAGUUGGUGAGGUAACGGCUCACCAAGGCGACGAUGCGUAGCCGACCUGAGAGGGUGAUCGGCCACACUGGGACUGAGACACGGCCCAGACUCCUACGGGAGGCAGCAGUAGGGAAUCUUCCGCAAUGGACGAAAGUCUGACGGAGCAACGCCGCGUGAGCGAAGAAGGCCUUCGGGUCGUAAAGCUCUGUUGUUAGGGAAGAACAAGUAACGCAGUAACUGGCGUUACCGUGACGGUACCUAACGAGAAAGCCACGGCUAACUACGUGCCAGCAGCCGCGGUAAUACGUAGGUGGCAAGCGUUGUCCGGAAUUAUUGGGCGUAAAGCGCGCGCAGGCGGUUCCUUAAGUCUGAUGUGAAAGCCCACGGCUCAACCGUGGAGGGUCAUUGGAAACUGGGGGACUUGAGUGCAGAAGAGGAGAGUGGAAUUC
rnacentral:rRNA from 1 species